CUUGAUCAUAUAUAAUACAUAAUCUGUGAUUGACGUCCCCUCAUGGAUGUGGGCAUUGAAGAUGGCACAAGAGGUUUUAUGCCUCUCAACAUCAUCAGAUGUGUCGAAGAAUUCAUUCAACACUUGAAGUAUUUCCUCCAGCUGAGUAUCCUCAAAUUUAUGACUGAACUCAUUAUUUAUAGCCGCUCUCAUAAUGCAACGCACUGCGGUGCGGUCAUUGAGCUACUUCUGAU
rnacentral:lncRNA from 1 species